GUGGGGCGGGUAGAACGGCCACCAGCGGCUCCUGCAGUGCCAUCACCCACAGCUGCCGGCGGGUGGGUGCUGGAGCCAGUGGGCCUGGGUCUUGCUGUCGGACACAGGGUGGGAUUCCUGGGCCUUCUACCUCACAGACUCCUUGGCUGCCACAUGGGGGAUGCGGGCAGGCCCCUCCCAGGGGGCUCGGAGGGACUUUGGAGGGCACCAGGCCCCAGCAAGUGCUCUGGGAGACCAGGGGCUCGGAGGCCUGGGUUAGCAGGUCAGUGAUCUUGGGUACGGACAUGUGCCCCUUGUAGUUCAAAAAUGGCCUUUCCUACCCUGCUUCUUUCCAGUCCGAGUGAGGGGCACUGUGCCCCUGCUGGUGCUGGAACUCGGGGCGCCGACAGCCAGAGAUUCCCAGAGAAUAAAAGAAGUUUUCAGACGGCCCCUCUCCCGCUUCUCGGACCCGGUGCUGUGUACGUUACCCGGCGCGCUGCCUGCGGAAAACAGAAGCCAGAGGAGCAGACGAUGAGAGAGAAGGAGAGCCAGGAGGACAGGUCCAGCAAUGCCUCCCGCUCCCCGUCACUUCCUAGGUGAGAGCUGAGCCCGCGGGGCAGGGAGUGCCUCCCGGGCCCUGCACCCGCUCCUCCCGCUGGUGUGGGGGUGCCCCUGCCCUGCGCCAGCAGCCCUUCUGCAUCGCGUGGCCAUCUUCUGCUCCAUAGCCCUGUAUCCUCCUCCUGGGUCAGCAUGGGCUUCUGCCAGAAUCCAGCCUACCCAGGUGCACCCCGCUGUGUGAUCUGUGGGCCCAGCUGCACGUUUUCAUGUGUGUGUGAGACGUGAGGGUUGGGGACCCUCACGCACCUGUAGGAAGCUCUGGCUAGAUAGGAUGGAGCUGGUGGGAGGAAAGGAAAAGGGGUGGGGCCAAGGCCAGGGUCUGGCUUCUCCGAAUGCCGUGGUGUCCAUGACUAACUCCGAGGAUUCGAGGAACUCCAGACUCAGACCUGGCUAAGUAGGCUGAGCCUCUGCCUGCGGCACCAGCAUCCCACCUGGGCGCUGGUUUGAGUCCCGGCUGCUCCUCUUCUGAUCCAGCUCUCUGCUACGGCCUAGGAAAGCAGUGGAAGAGGGCCCAAGUCAUUGGGCCCCUGCACCACAUGGGAGAUCUGGAAGAAGCUCCUGGCUCCUGGUUUUGGAUCGGCGCAGCUCCAGCCACUUCAGUCAUUUGGGGAGUGAACCAGCAGAUGGAAGAUCUCUAUCUGUCCCCCCACCUCUCUCUAUAUAAUUCUGACUUUCAAAUAAAUAAAUAAAUCUUUUAUUAAAAAAAAAAAAA
rnacentral:lncRNA from 1 species